UGCUGUAGAUCUUAAGGCAUUAUGUAUUUGAUGUUUAUGGGGUUUUUUGUAGGAGCAAAGACGACGGAGGUUGAGGAUCUAUUGGUGGUGAGAGACGCACAACGGAACACCGCAAAUGUCUACGGUAAGUGUUUUGAAUUCUUUUGUUUUAUUUGUGUUUUUGUAGAGAAGAAAAAAACAAAUCUCUGUUUACUUUCAGAGCCGCCAAUGGUGGCGGAAUUUCAACCGAGCUGGUGAAGGAUGCAGUGGCAUCACGACAAAGACGAUUGGGGAACCAACGGGUAAACAUUUUGGUGGAGAAGAUCUAUGACGAUCUGGAUAUAAUUUGUCCAAAUUCGAAAAUUAAAAUUUGUUGUUUUUUUUUAAUUUUGGGUUUUAAUCGGUUAAGAUAUAUAAUAUUUGUAAGUUCCAGAGGUAAAAAAGCAAAAAUAAUGAAGAUUGCAUGAUAAAAAUCAAUGGUGGUUUUGAGAUAUAUUUGCAGGAAACUCAAAAAACCCUAAUAGAAAGAUGAUGAAAUUAUUACAAAAUUGCCACUAAUUAAAAAAAAUUACAGAAAAAAUUAGAAGACGUUGAUGUGUACAUAAUGUUAGUGUACACGAUUACAUUGGAUGACAACAUGGAUGUCUAUGCAUCAGUGUACACAUGGACACUAUUAUAGAAGUGAAUCAUUGUACAUGAUAGUAAAUUUUGUGUCUUCACGUGAACAUAAUAUGGUUGUACACAUUUUGAAACUUGCAAAUUUAUCCAAUUUAGUUUGGUUGAUGCGGAGACGAGAGGAUUAUAGACUAGUAAAAGUAUAAAUCGCAUUUAAAAUUUCCAUAUAUACAAUGUUGUAAUGAUAUAUAUGUGUACAUCGUUUUA
rnacentral:lncRNA from 1 species